GGGCGAUUGGUUUAGUGGUAUAACGUCUGCUUAGCAUGCUGAAGGUCCCGCGUUCGAUUCGCGGAUUGUCCA
rnacentral:tRNA from 6 species